ensembl:lncRNA
AGCUCUGCCAAAACCAUCAGUGAAACAAACUAACUUCAUAGAGCCGGUUAUUUUAGAUUUCAUUGAAAUUAAGGACAGAAGAGACAAGUUAAAACUGUUUCAUCUGGACUUCCUGUUUAUCCCUCAAAUUUAAAUAUCUAUAUCUCCCAUCCAAGUAUCUAUUCCCGUAAGGACUUUUACAUGCAAUAUUUAAAUCCCAACUCAGUCUCUGUAGGGUCUCACUUCUAACAGGUACUGAGGGGCUCAAAACAGGACACUGUAUGCCAGGUACAGGACUUUGCUUUUCUCCUUAUUGAACUUCAUGAAAUAUCUUUUGUCCUGGACCUCAAAUUUAUCAAGUUCCCACCGCAGUGAAUCUCCGCUAUUCAGUUCGUCUGAGUGGCAGAAGUUUCCCCUGGGUUAUUACAGUCCUCAAAUUCACUAAAGACAUUCUGGGCCACUUGAAGGUGAAUAUUUUCAUCAGAUCUCUCCCCAUCCUGUAAUUUAUAAUCAGUGGAGCUAGUAUGCAGUGCUUUAAGACCAUAAAACAGAAAAUUCUCAUGGAAGGAAAAAUUCAUAAUGUUUGCCAGAUGAUAAUCCAGAAGGUCUACAUGCUCAGAAUGUUGAUUGUUGACCCAUUACCUUCUUCAACAACACAAGAUGGAAGAAGAUAAUAAAAUUAUCAUGAUAAAGAUUUUUUUUCAUGAAGAUGUCCAACUGUGUACCUGCCAUGCAUGAAGGAAACAAAAUGACAUGGACAAAUGAAAUAGGACCAGGAGACUGAGUGCAAGCAGGUGGCGAGGUGAGUGGCCCUCAUCAGAGGAGUCCCAUCCAAUCUUCGAUGUAGAGAGGAGACAGUGUUCACCUCAAAGGGGAAGAUAAACUCCUUAUUCAAAGGACAAAGUGAAGACUAAACAGGAAAAAGAAAACAACAACAACAACAAAAACCCACUUUGAUAAGCUUCUCUGUACUAAAGAGUCAGGUAGAGGCAUCUGAGAAAGAAUGAGAUCAAGAGAGGGAAGAAUUCUCAUUCUGUCUAACUUCAAGCAUCCAGCUCAAGCUUCUUAUAUGCAAAUGUUACAGAUAGGCGCCUGAAGAAGUCCAUUUGGGGUCUAUUUUUGAUUACUUUAAAGAAACUGGCAUUGUAAUUUAGGAUAGUUCAAUGUAGGUUGACUAACUUAACUUAAAAAUCAUUUUGCUAGUGGAUGGUAGUUUCUGUGAAAUCCUCUAGGCUCAGGGGGUAUUUGAUGUAUGUACUCCAGUUUCUUCUUGGUUCAUUGUCUUUUUCCAACACCAACUCUCUUCUGAAUAAACUGCUCAGAUAUGUUAUUUAUUGCCUGUGGGAUGAUUCUGAGGUUCUUGCUGUCGUGUUAUCAUCAGUAAGCUCCCAGGUUUUGCCCAGCUUGAAUCAGUGGCAAGGUUAGAAAACAAAGCAUGUCAGAAAUAGGUCAGAGGAUCACAGGUUUAUAUCAGCUGGGACAUGGUGCCUUCUUUUUUUAAUGCAAAAAUUAUGUGUGUGAGUUUACUGCACAAACAUGAAAUCAAAAGGAACAUUUACAAGAGCAGUUUACUACUUCAGACAUGUUGCAAAAAUAUGGCAGUAAAGAUAAAAAAAAGAGAGCGAUCCAAGAUGGUGCAAUAGCUUUCAUCAUCCAGUCUCAUAAAUGUCUAAUCCCACUCUCUUUCAGAUCAUGUUUAUUUUCAUAUAAAUUCCUUCAAAUUGUAGUGUUGCUGUUUCCUUAAAUGACUAAUUGUUUUAUGCUACCCUUGUGAGAGCCAUUUAUAUCAGUGCGUUUCCAUACCCUGUGGCCUGGUUGAUGUGGCUAUUCCAUCCACUAAAGAAAAAGAUGUUCUGUAAUAUGAUGGCUUGUUAAUGUUUCCGUCAGUUAUUUGUUCACCAUGUUUUGCAAUUUUUCUUAGUAAAAAAGCAUAUAUGUCAUUUAGCUUUUUUUUUUUUUUUUUUAAGAGUUUCAUUUCUCCUUGAUGUUUGCCAAAGAUUUGGUGUAUUUGAGCAAGAGGAAGUAAUUUAAUAGACAGAAAUCUUGUUCUUGGCCUUCUGUUUGGACAGUAGGUGUUCCACAUUGCUUGAAAGUGAGCAGACUAGUUACAUGACAGUGGCAGAUGAAGUUUUAGGGGCUACUGUGGUUCUCAUCCCAGAGCAUGAAGCAUGUUGUAGGUGCAGUUCCCCAGAUUCAGUUUGGGCAGGUAGGUAAGCUUCCUACUAAGUCAUGAUUAUCUCUCUUAAUAAUCAAUUAUUUAGAACUCCUGCCAUAACAUGCAAGUGUAUUGAUUACAUCACUGGAAAUUUUUCACCUCAUCAUACUUUCCAGCCUGUUUCUGGAUAUGCUGCUGAGGUGAGCUGCUCUCACCUCACCUACUGAGUGAAUUAGGUAUUGCUCACUGCAAAGACCAAGAUACAAAAACCAGACAAUUCUUUUUCCAUUUGUGUUCCUUGUGGAAGAACAAAAUUUUGCCUGUUCACAUCUUUUGCUGAAAAAACGCUGAAAAAAACCAUUCCUCACUAGCAACAAUUGAAACUUUACAAAUAACAGUUUUGUGAUUCUCCUUUUAAAAUAAAGAAGUAACUUGACUGUAAAGCUCAAAAUAUUUCUGUAUAUGCUCCCAUUAUAUCACAAAUGUGAUAAACUGAAAGAAAACCAUGUUGUGUUCCUCUCUGGCUCUCUCACUCCUUCCUGUGAUUGCAUUUAAGAAUGUCUUUACAUGAAAUAAGUCAACAAGAUAACUCCAGUUCAUAAUGCUGCAUGGAUUUAUACAUACUUGGAGAAUGAAGCAAGGG